rnacentral:rRNA from 1 species
CAGUGGAGCCUGCGGUUUAAUCGGACUCAACGCCGGGAAACUCACCAGAUAAGACAGCUGAAUGAUAGUCGGGCUGAAGACUCUACUUGACUAGCUGAGAGGAGGUGCAUGGCCGUCGUCAGUUCGUACUGUGAAGCAUCCUGUUAAGUCAGGCAACGAGCGAGACCCACGCCAACAGUUGCCAGCUCGUCCUCCGGGAUGGUGGGGGACACUGUUGGGACCGCUCUGCUAAAGAGGAGGAAGGAAUGGGCAACGGUAGGUCAGCAUGCCCCGAAUUAUCUGGGCUACACGCGGGCUACAAUGGGUGGGACAAUGGGUAUCGACACCGAAAGGUGAAGGCAAUCUCCUAAACCCAUCCGUAGUUCGGAUUGUGGGCUGCAACUCGCCCACAUGAAGCUGGAAUCUGUAGUAAUCGUGUCUCAAAAUGGCACGGUGAAUAUGUCCCUGCUCCUU